UCAGUGGCCGAAUGGAUAACGCAAUGGCAUUUGAAGCGAAAGGUACUGGGUUCGAGUCCCAGAGUGA
rnacentral:tRNA from 1 species